UCAGGAACCCCAUCAGGACAGUAGGCAGGGCUGCAGCCUGGGUGUGAAAUCACACUAAUGCUCUCGCUCUAGUCAGGUCGAGCGAGAUUACUCACUCACUCUCUCUCGCUCACACACUGUCGUUUUACUCCACUACUGUAGCCCCAGCACCAGCAGCCUGUAGACAAGUGUGGAAUGGACGUCAAGGAGGGCAAGAAAGAAAGGAAAGAGGCAAGGAAAGGUCUGUGAGGAAACCUGGAAAGGGAUUCCGCUCUUCGUCGGCUGUCGGUUUGGAUCAGUUCUGUGAUGGGAGGCUGUGUUUGAACGGUGCACACUGCUGGAUCUCCGGUGGCCUGCCGGUACGUACUCCCGCUCUCACACAGAUUUCCCAGCAGCACCUGAGUGAAUGAGGCUAACAUGAGUCUUUACACCCACUUAGACCACACACAGGACAAGAGUGACAGCUUCACGUCACAACUUCACUCAGAUACAUGUCAUAUCAAAACCAGAGAUCCAUUCUUAGAGACACGGUCUUAGUAGAAAAAUGCAUGCAUGAAGGGUUGGGAGCUGUUU